UGUAUAAUGGGUCAGCGACUUAUAUUCUGUAGCAAGGUUAACCGAAUAGGGGAGCCGAAGGGAAACCGAGUCUUAACUGGGCGUUAAGUUGCAGGGUAUAGACCCGAAACCCGGUGAUCUAGCCAUGGGCAGGUUGAAGGUUGGGUAACACUAACUGGAGGACCGAACCGACUAAUGUUGAAAAAUUAGCGGAUGACUUGUGGCUGGGGGUGAAAGGCCAAUCAAACCGGGAGAUAGCUGGUUCUCCCCGAAAGCUAUUUAGGUAGCGCCUCGUGAAUUCAUCUCCGGGGGUAGAGCACUGUUUCGGCAAGGGGGUCAUCCCGACUUACCAACCCGAUGCAAACUGCGAAUACCGGAGAAUGUUAUCACGGGAGACACACGGCGGGUGCUAACGUCCGUCGUGAAGAGGGAAACAACCCAGACCGCCAGCUAAGGUCCCAAAGUCAUGGUUAAGUGGGAAACGAUGUGGGAAGGCCCAGACAGCCAGGAUGUUGGCUUAGAAGCAGCCAUCAUUUAAAGAAAGCGUAAUAGCUCACUGGUCGAGUCGGCCUGCGCGGAAGAUGUAACGGGGCUAAACCAUGCACCGAAGCUGCGGCAGCGACACUAUGUGUUGUUGGGUAGGGGAGCGUUCUGUAAGCCUGUGAAGGUGGCCUGUGAGGGUUGCUGGAGGUAUCAGAAGUGCGAAUGCUGACAUAAGUAACGAUAAAGCGGGUGAAAAGCCCGCUCGCCGGAAGACCAAGGGUUCCUGUCCAACGUUAAUCGGGGCAGGGUGAGUCGACCCCUAAGGCGAGGCCGAAAGGCGUAGUCGAUGGGAAACAGGUUAAUAUUCCUGUACUUGGUGUUACUGCGAAGGGGGGACGGAGAAGGCUAUGU
rnacentral:rRNA from 1 species